GGUGGGUUAACUCAGUGGUUAGAGCGUAGGUCUUGUGACCCAACGGUCCCGCUGGUCCUGGGAUCGAAUCCCGCCCCCUG
rnacentral:tRNA from 1 species